rnacentral:rRNA from 1 species
AGAACGAACGCUGGCGGCAGGCUUAACACAUGCAAGUCGAACGCCCCGCAAGGGGGAGUGGCAGACGGGUGAGUAACACGUGGGAACGUGCCCUAAGGUUCGGAACAACUCCGGGAAACUGGAGCUAAUACCGAAUGUGUCCGUAAGGAGAAAGAUUUAUCGCCUUAGGAUCGGCCCGCGUCGGAUUAGCUAGUUGGUGGGGUAAUGGCCUACCAAGGCGACGAUCCGUAGCUGGUCUGAGAGGACGACCAGCCACACUGGGACUGAGACACGGCCCAGACUCCUACGGGAGGCAGCAGUGGGGAAUCUUGGACAAUGGGCGCAAGCCUGAUCCAGCCAUGCCGCGUGGAUGAUGAAGGCCUUAGGGUUGUAAAAUCCUUUCGCCGAGGACGAUAAUGACGGUACUCGGAGAAGAAGCUCCGGCUAACUUCGCGCCAGCAGCCGC